CAGCAGCCGCGGGAAUACGAAGGGUGCAAGCGUUACUCGGAAUUACUGGGCGUAAAGCGUGCGUAGGUGGUGGUUUAAGUCCGUUGUGAAAGCCCUGGGCUCAACCUGGGAAUUGCAGUGGAUACUGGGUCACUAGAGUGUGGUAGAGGAUAGUGGAAUUUCCGGUGUAGCAGUGAAAUGCGUAGAGAUCGGAAGGAACAUCUGCGGCGAAGGCGACUAUCUGGGCCAACACUGACACUGAGGCACGAAAGCGUGGGGAGCAAACAGGAUUAGAUACCCGCGUAGUCCCUGUCUCUUAUAC
rnacentral:rRNA from 1 species